UGGAAGCCAACCUCUGUGUUUAUCCACAGGCUAAGCAGGGCUCAGACACGCAGCGUCUGAGCUCCCCCGCACAGCCAUGUCGGUGAACCCAGGCUGGAAGGGGAGGAAUUGCCUCUCCGGAAGAUGAGAGGGGAUCCAUUCUCCAUGCUAGCACUUUC
ensembl:misc_RNA